rnacentral:rRNA from 1 species
UAGUCCACGUCGUAAACGAUGGUCACUAGCUGUUUGGAUUCAUCUGAGUGGCUAAGCGAAAGUGAUAAGUGACCCACCUGGGGAGUACGUUCGCAAGAAUGAAACUCAAAGGAAUUGACGGGGGCCCGCACAAGCGGUGGAGCAUGUGGUUUAAUUCGAUGAUACGCGAGGAACCUUACCAGGGCUUAAAUGUAGAUUGACAGGUCUAGAGAUAGAUUUUUCUUCGGACAAUUUACAAGGUGCUGCAUGGUUGUCGUCAGCUCGUGUCGUGAGAUGUUGGGUUAAGUCCCGCAACGAGCGCAACCCUUAUUUCUAGUUGCCAUUUGGAACUCUAGAAAGACUGUCGGUUAUAAACCGGAGGAAGGCGGGGAUGACGUCAAGUCAGCAUGCCCCUUAUGCCCUGGGCUACACACGUGCUACAAUGGACGAGACAAUGAGUCACAAAUCUGCGAAGAUAAGUUAAUCUAUAAACUCGUUCUAAGUUCGGAUUGUAGGCUGCAACUCG